AUGACUUUGAGCUCCAUCCUCAUCUGGACUCUCCUCUGCUGCUGCUUGACAGAGUCCAGAGGCCAGGUCACAGUGACUCAGCCUGGAGCAGUGAGGGCUGCUCUGGGAGCCUCCGUCACCAUCACAUGUAAAACCAGCCAGGAUGUUUAUGUUUCGGGCAGCUACCACCAAUUAGCCUGGUACCAACAGAGAGAUGGAGAAAUUCCAAAACUGCUCAUUUACAAUGCUAAUACUCGAGAAUCAGGGAUUCCAGGUCGUUUUACAGGCAGUGGAUCAGGGAGUGACUUCACUCUGACCAUCAGUGGAGUCCAGGCUGAAGAUGCAGCAGUUUACUACUGUCAGAGUUACCACAGUGGUGGAGUGUUCACACAGUGA